GAUGAACGCUGGCGGCGUGCCUAAUACAUGCAAGUCGAGCGAACAGACGAUGAGCUUGCUCCUUCGACGUUAGCGGCGGACGGGUGAGUAACACGUAGGUAACCUACCUAUAAUACUGGGAUAACUUCGGGAAACCGGAGCUAAUACCGGAGAAUAUUUCGAACCGCAUGGUUCGAUAGUGAAAGAUGGCUUUGCUAUCACUUAUAGAUGGACCUGCGGCGUAUUAGCUAGUUGGUAAGGUAACGGCUUACCAAGGCAACGAUACGUAGCCGACCUGAGAGGGUGAUCGGCCCAACUGGAACUGAGACACGGUCCAGGCUCCUACGGGAAGCAGCAGUAGGGAAUCUUCCGCAAUGGGCGGCAGCCUGACGGAACCACGCCGCGUGAGUGAUGAAGGUCUUCGGAUCGUAAAACUCUGUUAGUAGGGAAGAACAAACGUGUAAGUAACUGUGCGCGUCUUGAAGGUACCUAAUCAGAAAGCCACGGCUAACUACGGG
rnacentral:rRNA from 1 species